GUGGGGAAUCUUCCGCAAUGGACGAAAGUCUGACGGAGCAACGCCGCGUGAGUGAAGAAGGUUUUCGGAUCGUAAAGCUCUUUCGUUAGGGACGAACGUGCUCUUUGUGAAUAAUGAGGAGUAAUGACGGUACCUAAAUAAGAAGCCACGGCUAACUACGUGCCAGCAGCCGCGGUAAUACGUAGGUGGCAAGCGUUGUCCGGAAUUAUUGGGCGUAAAGCGCGCGCAGGCGGGAUAUCAAGUCUGUCUUAAAAGUGCGAGGCUCAACCUCGUGAGGGGACAGAAACUGGUAUUCUUGAGUGUCGGAGAGGAAAGUGGAAUUCCAAGUGUAGCGGUGAAAUGCGUAGAGAUUUGGAAGAACACCAGUGGCGAAGGCGACUUUCUGGACGACAACUGACGCUGAGGCGCGAAAGCGUGGGGAGCAAACAGGAUUAGAAACCCCUGUAGUCC
rnacentral:rRNA from 1 species